GCUUGUCAAGCCAGCAACUAGUAGAUUUUAUUCAUGAACAACUCAGAACGGAAAGCAAGCUUUCUGUAGUGUGCAAUAGAGUACUGGAUAGGUGUUUGGCACCAUCAACGGCAAGUGGUGAAGGAUGCGACAACAUGACUAUGAUCUUGGUGCAGUUUAAGAAACCAAUCCAGCGCACUGCCUCUGCAAAUGAGCAAUCCUCUGCAACUGAAUUUACUGACACUGAAUCUAAACAAAAGGAAAACGAAUUGAAGUAGCCAGCAUCUGUUGAUAUCUCAUCAGAUGCCACCAUUGUGCAGCUCUGUGGCACGAAGAAUGUUCAAGGGUCCUUAGUUUUCUUGAAAAGUUGGGUCCUGUUUAUAUCUUUGUAGAUGGCUUAACAUGAAUGGAUGGAACAAUUUUUCUUAAUAUUUCAU
rnacentral:misc_RNA from 1 species